CUGCUGUUGGUUCUCUGACUGGAAGUAUCUCUGGUUUUCUGGAUUAUUCCUAAUCCUGUCCCAGGAGUGUUUUCUCUGAGGAGACUCGGUGUCUGUCUUCUGUGAAGUGGACAAAUUUAGUCCAACGAUCACCAUGAAUUCCAGGGCCUAUUACCCCAGGAACUUAUCAGCAUGACAUUUUAUCUAAAAGUCACGGAUUCAUUAUCGGACAAGGAAAUGGUCAGAGACCUUCUGCGAGCGUGUAUGGUGUCUGGCUUCGGAACCUCACUGUGACUUCAGGUAAGAUUUGUAUUUAAUUAACGUCAUUUGUCUGUACCAGUUGUGUUUUUGACACAUGCAUUGGCAGGAAAAAAAUAAAUAAAUAAUUAGUCAUAACAUGUACAACAUUAACAUUCUUUUAUUUGCAAAAUGAAGUGUAUUUAUUUCUGAUUUCCUGAACAAUUUGGCUUCAUUGUAAUGAGGUUAAUGAUCUUUGAAAAACCAUGAUUAUGAACAUACAAUUACUUUGUCUUGAGCUGAUCAGAAAACUGUGGUAGUGAUGGUUGAUUGGCGUUUAUAUUUGUUCAAGCUUGACAACCUUAUCGCCUUUAUUUUCUAAUAUAUAUUUCUCAUAACAGAUAAGAACAAAGAUUAAAUUGUAAGAAGGGUUGCUUAUAAGAGAGCAUACAGUACAUCUGAAACUGCUGAGACGUAAGGUUUUUCACUAUAUUACCGACCAGGUACAUUGUUCUCAGCGAACUGUCAUUCUAAAGAAGAAAACAAAUCAAUCAUCAUUUGCCUUUUUCGUGUGUGUGUGUGUGAGAAAUAUUAACAUUUGCUGUUUUUCAGAUCAGCUGCUAUAGAAGACAGACUGAAACCACCUCUGUUAUAGAGAUUUUUGAACCAGGCCUAAUGGAGGGUGAUUCGGUCAAUCUUGGAAGAAAAACAUUAGCAAUGUGUCCAUUCCAGGUGGCUAAUUUGUGCUUCCAUUCAGUCAUUCAAGUUAAAAAAAAACUGUUAUUUAACCUUUUUUUUUGUAAAGCUACAAGGCCACACCAUCUACAUCUUGGCUCCUCCCUCCCUCGACUCCACAGUGUGUUGUCAGCACUGGGGUGCUCUGGGUCUGUGCCAUAGCAUUUCAGUCUUUUUUCAUUUAUUAUGGUUUUUGUAUAAUGCAUUAAAAUGUACUUGAGUAUGUUUGUAGUAAUACAAAUAUACUAUAAACAUACUUGAAUUUCAAGUGCAUUUUAAUACUUUUAAUAGUAUGUUUUGUUUUUCACCAAGGUAUAUAUGCUGCUGUACUUUUUUUAAUGUACUUUAUGAAUA